AAUCCUAGUGGCGAACGGGUGAGUAACGCGUAGGCAACCUGCCCUCCGGCCGGGGACAACACUCCGAAAGGGGUGCUAAUACCGGAUACGAAGUCUGUGCCGCAUGGUACGGAUUUGAAAGAUGGCCUCUAUUUAUAAGCUAUCGCCGGGGGAUGGGCCUGCGUCCGAUUAGCUGGUUGGUGGGGUAACGGCCUACCAAGGCGACGAUCGGUAGCCGGUCUGAGAGGAUGAACGGCCACAUUGGGACUGAGACACGGCCCAGACUCCUACGGGAGGCAGCAGUGGGGAAUCUUCCGCAAUGGGCGCAAGCCUGACGGAGCAACGCCGCGUGAGUGAGGAAGUUCUUCGGAACGUAAAGCUCUGUUGUUCCUGACGAACCGUCCCUUCUAUCAACAACGGAGGGGACUGACGGUAGGGAACGAGGAAGCCACGGCUAACUACGUGCCAGCCGCCGC
rnacentral:rRNA from 1 species